rnacentral:lncRNA from 1 species
UUCAUGUUUAUAUUAUAAAGGUCUUGCUACAAGCAUUUAACAGGACUUAAAUCUAUCUUGUAAGAAUCUCUGUAUCUGAUCUCUUUCACCUUUAUGAAAUCUAACUAAAGUAGAUAAGUUGCAAAAAUGUAAUUAUGUAAAUAAUGAAACACAAGUUGUUUGUCUAUAUGGUCACUUUCUCCAGUCCAUGAAGAGAACUUUCCUUCAGUUUUGCUUGCUAAAAUAGUCGAUGGAGAACAACACUGAUAUGCAAAAAUUUCUUUUGUAAAGGCAUGUGGGACCUUUUAACUUCUGCAGCUAUGUUUUGCACUCGUGAUCUUUCAGCGUGGACAAAAAAGUCACAAGGAAACUCUAAGAAUACGAAGGUCCCAGAGAAUGGCUUAAAACAUUCAGCUGUACUUAUGAAUCCUGCUGUACUCUGCACUAAUAAAGAUCACAAAGAAACAGCCUCAGGAUGUCUUGAAGAAAAUAUCUAUCUUAAUGGGCACAUUCCUGGGAGGCAAAGAUAAUUAACAACUGAAUAAAUAAAUCAACUGAUACACAAACUACUAUCAUCAGGAAAAGUGUGGGAAUACAAGAAAAGCUGUUCAGAGCAGCAGCUGUGGAGCAAGAUAAACAGCAUGAGAACCAAGGACACCUCUGCAAGGAGAAGAAGGGUCUCACAGCUCUGAUUGGAUACGUGCCUGCAUGGACAGUUGAAAAGUGCUUUGUAGAAUGCUUUGUUGACAUGUAAAGGUGGUUGGGAAAGUUGUAAGGGCGGAUGGGAAAGUUAGAAAAUAACAACUUGUGAAGGUAUAUAAAGGAUGUGAGAACUUGUAAUAAAUGAUUUGGAUCGUUCA